rnacentral:rRNA from 1 species
UGGGGAAUAUUGCACAAUGGGCGCAAGCCUGAUGCAGCGACGCCGCGUGGGGGAUGACGGCCUUCGGGUUGUAAACUCCUUUCGCUAGGGACGAAGCUUUUUGUGACGGUACCUAGAUAAGAAGCACCGGCUAACUACGUGCCAGCAGCCGCGGUAAUACGUAGGGUGCGAGCGUUGUCCGGAAUUACUGGGCGUAAAGGGCUCGUAGGUGGUUUGUCGCGUCGUCUGUGAAAUUCCGGGGCUUAACUCCGGGCGUGCAGGCGAUACGGGGAUAACUUGAGUACUGUAGGGGUAACUGGAAUUCCUGGUGGAGCGGUGAAAUGCGCAGAUAUCAGGAGGAACACCGAUGGCGAAGGCAGGUUACUGGGCAGUUACUGACGCUGAGGAGCGAAAGCAUGGGUAGCGAACAGG